rnacentral:rRNA from 1 species
UGGGGAAUAUUGGUCAAUGGGCGCAAGCCUGAACCAGCCAUCCCGCGUGCAGGAAGACGGCCCUAUGGGUUGUAAACUGCUUUUCCAGGGGGAGAAUUUUUCUGUCGUGACAGGAAUUGACGGUACCCUGGGAAUAAGCAUCGGCUAACUCCGUGCCAGCAGCCGCGGUAAUACGGAGGAUGCGAGCGUUAUCCGGAUUUAUUGGGUUUAAAGGGUGCGUAGGCGGAUAGAUAAGUCAGUGGUGAAAACCUGAAGCUUAACUGUAGACUUGCCGUUGAUACUGUCAGUCUUGAGUAUGGUCAAGGUAGGCGGAAUGUGUAAUGUAGCGGUGAAAUGCAUAGAUAUCACGCAGAACUCCGAUUGCGAAGGCAGCUUACUAAGCUACAACUGACACUGAAGCACGAAAGCGUGGGGAUCAAACA